GGGGAUUUAGCUUAGCGGCAUAAGUGCCUGCCUUGUAAGCAGGCAAUCGCGAGUUCGAUCCCUGGUACCGCCA
rfam:Cavia porcellus supercont2_39 genomic scaffold, whole genome shotgun sequence.